UCUCGGCUUAUCACCGGCUGUCCCCCUAGAGUGCCCAACUAAAUGGUAGCAACUAGAGACGAGGGUUGCGCUCGUUGCGGGACUUAACCCAACAUCUCACGACACGAGCUGACGACAGCCAUGCACCACCUGUACACCGACCACAAGGGGGCGCCCAUCUCUGAACGUUUCCGGUGUAUGUCAAGCCUUGGUAAGGUUCUUCGCGUUGCGUCGAAUUAAGCCACAUGCUCCGCCGCUUGUGCGGGCCCCCGUCAAUUUCUUUGAGUUUUAACCUUGCGGCCGUACUCCCCAGGCGGAUGACUUAACGCGUUAGCUGCGCCACCGAAACGCUAAGCGCCCCGACAGCUAGUCAUCAUCGUUUACGGCGUGGACUAC
rnacentral:misc_RNA from 1 species